AGAGCGAACGCUGGCGGCAGGCUUAGGACAUGCUACGUCGAGCGGGCCUUCGGACGAUGGCGGACGGGUGAGUAACGCGUGGGAACGUGCCUUCUGGUUCGGAAUAACCCUGGGAAACUAGGGCUAAUACCGGAUACGCCCUUUUGGGGAAACGUUUACUGCCGGAAACGCGGCCCGCGUCUGAUUAGCUAGUUGGUGGGGUAACAGCCUACCAAAGCGACGAUCAAUAGAGCUCGUCUGAGAGAUGAUUAGCCACACUUUGGACUGAGACACGGCCCAGACUCCUACGGGAGGCAGCAGUGGGGAAUAUUGGACAAUGGGCGCAAGCCUGAUCCAACCAUGCCACGUGAGUGAAGGGACCUUGAAGGCCUUGGUUGUAAAGCUCUUUUAUCCGGGACGAUAAUGACGGUACCGAAGGAAUAAGCCCCGGCUAACUUCGUGCCAAUGGCCGCGGUAAUACUUCGGGGGCUAGAGUUGCUCGGAAUCACUGGGCGUAAAGGGCGCGUAGGCGGCGUUUUAAGUCGGGGGUGAAAGCCUGUGGCUCAACCACCCGAAUGGCCUUGGAUACUGGGACGCUUGAGUAUGGUAGAGGAGGUUGGUGGAACUGCUAGAGUGUUUCGAGUAUAUUCGCAAGAACACCGGUGGCGAAGGCGGCCAACUGGACCAUUACUGACGCUGAGGCGGGAAAGCGUGGGGAGCAGACAGGAUUAGAUACCCUGGUAGUCCACUCCGUAAACGAUGAAUGCCAACUGUUGGGGUGCUUGCACCGCAAAGUAGCGCAGCUAACGCUUUGAGCAUUCCCCCUGGGGAGUACGGUCGCAAGAUUAAAACUCAAAGGAAUUGACGGGGGCACGCACAAGCACAGGAGCAUGUGGUUUAUGAAAUUCCAAGCAACGCGCAGAACCUUACCAUCCUUUGACAUGGCGUGUUACCCAGAGAGAUCUGGGGGUCUUCGGGGCGCGCACACAGGUGCUGCACUGGCUGUCGUAAGCUCGUGAUCGAGAUGUUGGGUCAAGUCCCGCAACGAGCGCAACCCACGUGCUUAGUUGCCAAGAUUCAGUUGGGCACUCUAGGGAGACUGCCCGGUGAUAAGCCGCGAGGAAGGUGUGGAUGGCGUCAAGUCCUCAUGUCCCUUACGGGAUGGGCUACACACGUGCUACAAUGACGGUGACAGUGGGAUAGCGUAUGGAGCGAUCUGGAGCUAAUCCCCAAAAGCCGUCUCAGUUCGGAUUGCACUCUGCAACUCGAGUGCAUGAAGGCGGAAUCGCUAGUAAUCGUGGAUCAGCAUGCCACGGAGAAUACGUUCCCGGGCCUUGUACACACCGCCCGUCACACCAUGGGAGUUGGUCUUACCCGACGGCGCUGCGCCAACCGCAAGGAGGCAGGCGACCACGGUAGGGUCAGCGACUGGGGUGA
rnacentral:rRNA from 1 species